ACUCUUCUAUCAGCUUUUGCAUGGACUUAUUGGACACUCAUUCAGAGCAUCUUCACAGCGUUUUGAUGGCCAGUUGACACAUAGUCAUCGUUACCAUGGUUUCUGGCGGGGUGUUGUCAGCCCAGCCUCCGUGAUGACGUCAUACACAAACAUGGCGCACUUGUCCUUUUUCUUGGCCCCGUGGAGUUCACUGUCCUGGGACCACAGAAGGCUGCCGACAUGGCGCUUGGCGAUGUUGAAGAUUCGAAGGUUACUGGAAACUCGUUCUGUGACAAUCAGGCCUCCAGCAAGCUGAGAGAACAUUAAAUGCUUAAUUAAGAUUGUUAAUUUGUUAUUAAUACAUAGCACAAGAACAUGGCUUGAAAUUCUUUGAAUUCUAAAUCUUUGAUGUAACACAACCUCUGGAAUGGAUGAUUACAGAAUCCUAAUGACUUUGUAUACAUGUAUUUGCAAAGGUUGAGUCAAACUUUCUAAGGAGGCUUUUGAACUUGGUCCAUUGUGAUUAACGGAAAGAAAGUGUGUUACUUUGUGGGGUUUUUUUCGGACGGAGCUGGAGGUAUGACUGAAUCAAUUUAUUGGUUUUUGUUAAUUACAGUUUAUUAAAUGCUCUAUGCUAUGUUCGAUAACUCUAGGUAAUCUCAACAUGUUUUUAUUUGCAGUUUUACUUUGAAUUAAGAAACACCACACAAUUCGUCAAUUGAUAUACUUUAGUUGCUGAUUUUAUGUCAUCGUACUGAAUUUAAGAACUGUAUAAAUACUAGCAUUUUGUGCUAUAUUUGAUAACUGUAGGUAUUCUUAACUUUUUUUUUUAUUCUUCAAGGAAUAUAUAUGCAGUUUUACUUUGAAUAAAGAAAUACUAUAGUAGCUGAUUUUAGGUCAUCGUACUGAAUUUAGUAACAGCAUAAUAGCUUUAAUGGAAUGGUCUCUAGAAAAUUGCAUCAUUGCCACCCUUAGUUGACGAGGACAAACAUAUAUACAUGACUGUAUACAUGCUUAUCAUCUAAUAUAUACUGUAACGCAUGCACUAGAAAGUACUAUUGUUGUUUACCGUUAAGCAUGCACUAGAGAGUCCUAUUGUUGUUAAUAAUAAAUAAAAUUAAUAUUACCAAAAUUAUU
rnacentral:misc_RNA from 1 species